rnacentral:rRNA from 1 species
AACGAACGCUGGCGGCAUGCCUAACACAUGCAAGUCGAACGAGACCUUCGGGUCUAGUGGCGCACGGGUGCGUAACGCGUGGGAACCUGCCCUUAGGUUCGGGAUAACUCCCCGAAAGGGGUGCUAAUACCGGAUAAUGUCUUCGGACCAAAGAUUUAUCGCCUUUGGGUGGGCCCGCGUUGGAUUAGCUAGUUGGUAGGGUAAAAGCCUACCAAGGCGACGAUCCAUAGCUGGUCUGAGAGGAUGAUCAGCCACACUGGGGCUGAGACACGGCCCAGACUCCUACGGGAGGCAGCAGUGGGGAAUAUUGGACAAUGGGCGAAAGCCUGAUCCAGCAAUGCCGCGUGAGUGAUGAAGGCCUUAGGGUUGUAAAGCUCUUUUACCCGGGAUGAUAAUGACAGUACCGGGAGAAUAAGCUCCGGCUAACUCCGUG